rnacentral:siRNA from 1 species
GAUAAUAUUUAUUCUGGUUUGC